rnacentral:rRNA from 1 species
AGUGAACGCUGGCGGUAGGCCUAACACAUGCAAGUCGAACGGCAGCACAGGAGAGCUUGCUCUCUGGGUGGCGAGUGGCGGACGGGUGAGGAAUACAUCGGAAUCUACUUUUUCGUGGGGGAUAACGUAGGGAAACUUACGCUAAUACCGCAUACGACCUACGGGUGAAAGCAGGGGACCUUCGGGCCUUGCGCGAUUGAAUGAGCCGAUGUCGGAUUAGCUAGUUGGCGGGGUAAAGGCCCACCAAGGCGACGAUCCGUAGCUGGUCUGAGAGGAUGAUCAGCCACACUGGAACUGGGCCACGGGCCAGACUCCUACGGGAGGCAGCAUUGGGGAAGAUUGGACAAUGGGCGCAAGCCUGAUCCAGCCAUACCGCGUGGGUGAAGAAGGCCUUCGGGUUGUAAAGCCCCUUUGUUGGGAAAGAAAUCCAGCUGGCUAAUACCCGGUUGGGAUGACGGUACCCAAAGAAUAAGCACCGGCUAACUUCGUGCCAGCCGCCGCGGUAA